ACGUUCGGGUAAUCGCUGCAGAUCUUGAAUCUGUAGAGGAAAGUCCAUGCUCGCACGGUGCUGAGAUGCCCGUAGUGUUCGUGCCUAGCGAAGUCAUAAGCUAGGGCAGCCUUUAGAGGCUGACGGCAGGAAAAAAGCCUACGUCCAUCAGAUAUGGCUGAGUAUCCUUGAAAGUGCCACAGUGACGAAGUCUCACUAGAAAUGGUGAGAGUGGAACGCGGUAAACCCCUCGAGCGAGAAACCCAAAUUUUGGUAGGGGAAUCUUCUUAACGGAAUUCAACGGAGAGAAGGACAGAAUGUUUUCUGUAGAUAGAUGAUUGCCGCCUGAGUACGAGGUGAUGAGCCGUUUGCAGUACGACGGAACAAAACAUGGCUUACAGAA
rnacentral:RNase_P_RNA from 2 species